UCUGUUUAUGCACUGACUGGCAAACCAGUUCCUGAAACUGGUGCUGCAAUAUCCGGAGCUGCUGAAGCUCUUCUGUGUGAUGUUGCCUCACUGUUUCUCAAUGUAAUUGUGCACAGCUUCUCGUUCAUAUUCGAUUGCAAGAACAGUAGAAUUUUGGUUUGUACCCAUUGCACUGAAAAGUGCAAAAACCCUCUUGCAACGUGAUGAAGACGAAGACGAAGAAGGAGGAGAAGGAGAUAGUGUUGUGCGAUUGAAGUCGGAGAUUGCUGCAAAGACGACGUUGUUGUGCAGCAACAAUGGCGAGUCCAGUGGAGGUUAUCCCAGGCUGGUCCGAUAUGAACGAUCGCCUGCACAAUACUCUUGUUCAACUCAAUCGCCUCAUGGAACAUUACGCAGACGGGCCUCCAUCUGAUGACCUGCGACACGCCGACGUCGACAAGCCUGGGUGUGUGUCGGAAGAAUGCCUGGAGACUGAUAUUCAAGACAUAUUGAAAGAAGCCAAGCAGCGGUUGAAGGACUUCACGGAAGCUAUGGGUUCCACGAACGGGAUUUCUCUUGGCACGAGCAGACGUGAACGUCAGGAGGCAGAGGAGAAGUCUCAAAGAAUUUUGGCAGAAUCAGAACACCAGAAAAAUUUUCUGAAAGAGGAGCUGGCUCGAGCGCAGCAUGAAGUAAUCAACCUCCACCAGAAAAUGAGAGGAUACGAAGACAGGUUUGCUUGCGAGCAGGCCGGUUUAUCUAACGCGAAAUUCUCGAGGGAACUGGAGAGAACCAAGAUUGAAUUGCUUGAGAAGUCAACAAGGCUCGAGAGUCUUCAAGCUGCAAAAGAGGCUGUUGAAAAGGAAUUCUCCGACUACAGAAAAACUCGGAAACAGGAGCUUGAAAGGGAGAAGACGCAGAAACUAUUUGAAACAAGACAAAUGAAGGAGAAUUUCCAGAAGGAAGUGAUGAGCGCUACUCAGCAACACCUGGACAGGGAGGUAGAAUUGCAAGAAUUCUGUCAAAACGAAAGGGACGCACACACGAAAACUGUCGAGGACAUGACAACGCUUCAUGCCGAGGAAAUCAAGAAAUUGAAGGCAGAGCAUGCAAUGAAACUCGAAGAAUGUUGUCACAAUCACGCUUUCCUUGAGUCGGAAUGGUUAGAAAAGGAGUUUGGGCUCCACAAGCAGAUCUCCGGAGCAGUUCAGGAGAAGUCACGCCACAUCCAACUGUUGUUUGAGGAGCACCUGAAGCUGCAAAGCCUGGAGACCCAGUUAGCUGCAGCACAGUCAGAGCUCGCCAAUGAGAAACUGGAGAGAAGCCAAAUCGAGAGCGAGCUUAAGUUUGCGAAGGUGGAUGUAUCGCUUGCGAAUGAGAAAGUGAAGAUGGGACUGGAAUCGCAUGAGCACACUCUCUCCAAUCUCACAAAUCUCCAAGACGAGAUGACGAACUUGAGGCGCACAUGUGCUGCUAAUAUUGCUAAACUGGAAGAGAAAGCGUUUGCAUUGCAGAAAAAUCUGUCAUGUGUGACCAACACAUGUGUGCAAAAUGAACAUGAGCUUCACUGCCAGUCAAGGAGGGUUGAAGAACUACAAAAGAACAUCCACAUCAAGCAGAAGGAGCUCAUGGCUUCAACCACUGAAGUACAAAGACUACAACAAGAGAUCAAAUGUAUGCAAAGUGAACUGAACGCCAAAGAAGAGGAAAAACGGGCCAUACAGCAAAAUUAUGAUGCUCAAUGCCAUCAGCUGCAAACACAAAUCUUCAAAUUACAAAUAGAUGAAAAACAAAAGUGUGAAGAUAUGGUAAACAAGACAAAAGACAAUCUGGAGACCCAGUUGCUGAGGCAAGCUCAACAGCAUACGAAAAUUGUGCAGAAACUGCAGAAGCAAUUCCGUGCCCAAUGGGAAGAAUACACAAAGACUGGAGGACCCUGUUUUUGAUGGACCUAGCUGACAGCAAGUGCGGAGGAAUUGAAAGAGAGAAGAACUGGAAACCUCAAGAUCAGAACGCCGCUACAACAGCUUGCAUGUUCAUCAAACUCGACAAAACACUCUCUAUUUAUGGUCUUCUUCGGAAACAGUAGUUUCACACUUCCACGAACCCAUGUUCUUGAAUUUGCAAGUGGAAAAGAAAGUCACAGUGACAGUGGCAUCCUUUGCAAUUCCAACACACUGCAAGCAAGCAAUGAAUAAAUGAAGAAAUGAAUGAAGCCUACUCGGAACAAUGAAUGUACUGUAAUGUAAAUUAAAACGUGAAAUUUGAAGCACUGCAAUGUAAAUUAAAAUCAAAACGAAAAGAAAAUCAGAAGAAAAAAGUAAUAACAAUAAACAAAAAAUACCUCUUGCAAAAAGGUGUUGGAAAUUUGCACCGAUGGACAUCAUCAGGUGCCAGCCGUUCCAAAGCAUAGUGCCUCCUAUUCUGUAAAAUUGACGAUGCUAAAAUCAAAAUAUAAAUUUGAAGCAAACUUUGAAGUAGAAGACCUUCGAUUUAAAAGGCAUGCAUGUGAUGUUAAAUCGCAAAUCAGGAGACAGUGAGAACUUGAUAAGUUCAAGAGUUUUAAAAUAUUUGACAAUUCAUGCUCAAUUACCAUAUUUGUCAUACUUGAAUGCUGUAGUUGCUUGUUGAAAUGCAAGGUACAGACAACCAUCACUACAAUGAAUAUAAAUCACUUCAAUUUAGAAGUGAUUUUUUCAUGGGA